UGUGGGAGUGAGCCUGCUCGCGAUGGCGUCAGGUCAGUCAACACCUUCGUUGAAUGCUGAACCGCUAUCGCGAGCAGGCUCGCUCCCACA
rnacentral:misc_RNA from 1 species